GACGAACGCUGGCGGCGUGCUUAACACAUGCAAGUCGAACGGAAAGGCCCUGCUUUUGUGGGGUACUCGAGUGGCGAACGGGUGAGUAACACGUGAGUAACCUGCCCUUGACUUUGGGAUAACUUCAGGAAACUGGGGCUAAUACCGGAUAGGAGCUCCUGCUGCAUGGUGGGGGUUGGAAAGUUUCGGCGGUUGGGGAUGGACUCGCGGCUUAUCAGCUUGUUGGUGGGGUAGUGGCUUACCAAGGCUUUGACGGGUAGCCGGCCUGAGAGGGUGACCGGCCACAUUGGGACUGAGAGACGGCCCAGACUCCUACGGGAGGCAGCAGUGGGGAAUAUUGCACAAUGGGCGGAAGCCUGAUGCAGCAACGCCGCGUGCGGGAUGACGGCCUUCGGGUUGUAAACCGCUUUCGCCUGUGACGAAGCGUGAGUGACGGUAAUGGGUAAAGAAGCACCGGCUAACUACGUG
rnacentral:rRNA from 1 species